CUUCCUGGUGCUUAUUGCACGGUGGACCCACUCCGACCCAUCCCGAACUCGGUUGUGAAACGCUGUAGCGGCGAAGAUACUUGGGGGGUAGCCCCCUGGAAAAAUAGCUCGGUGCCAGGUU
rnacentral:rRNA from 2 species